rnacentral:lncRNA from 10 species
GGAGUACACUGGUCUAGGUAAAAAUUCAAUUUGUGAUUUUCCUGCAGAAAGGGGUAAAUAAAGGUGUUAGAGGAAGAGUAACGAAUAGAGCUGCUACUUGCAGAAUGCUAUCUUUAAACAGAAGAGAAAUAAUGACCAGACAAGUAAUGUGGAAGACCAAGGAGUUUGCAUUAUUAAACUCAAGGACAUAAAACACUUCAAAAUAUGGGAAAUGGUGAACAGGUCUGAAUGCUGUUAAGAAGCAAAGGCAGGCCGGGUGCAGUGGCUCAUGCCUGUAAUCCCAGCACUUUGGGUGACCGAGGCGGGGGGAUCACUUUAGGUCAGGAGUUCGAGACCAGCCUGGCCAACAUAGUGAAACCCUGUCUCUGCUAAAAAUACAAAAAUUAGUCGGGCGUGGUGGCAGACACCUGUAAUCCCAGCUACUAGGGAAGCUGAGACAGGAGAAUUGCUUGAACCAAAGAGGCAGAAGUUGCAGUGAACUGAGAUCGCGCCACUGCACUCCAGCCUGGGCGACAGAGCAAGACUCCAUCUCAAAAAAAGAAGCAAAGGCAGAUGAAAUAAUCAAUUGUGUGCAGUAACAAGUAUUUGAAAAAAUAGUGAGAUUUCCCAUUUUCAGAAGAGUGUUAUGGUGAAAGCAAGAAGGGAGUGGUUUGAAGAGUUAAUGAGAGAUUGGAGAAUUAGUACAACAUUAUGGAUAAAAUCUUCAAUACUUGGUUGUGAAAGAAAACAGACAAAGUGCAAUAACUCCGGGACCAUGAGUUGUCAAGUGGGAGAUCUGUAUAUCUACAUAUGUAUGUACAUAUCUAUCUAUCCAUUUAUCUAUCUAUACAUUCAGCUUCAUUGAAAGAAUGUGAAUGAAUUGAAUAAAUGAAUUUAACUUAAAGGAUAAUUAUCCAUUGGGAGGGAAAAGAGGUAAAUAUACAAGAGUGAGAAUAAAUAAUCUAUGAUGUAAAAUCCUGAGGAAAGAGAAGAGAUAUAAUACAAAGCAAAAAGUGGGAAGAUUAUCCUGGGAUAGAUUAAUACAAUUUACCAGAGUUCCUGUGAUUUUAAUAUUUGAGUCAUCUUUGAAUUCAUUGGUUUUGCUUUUGUUUUUCUAGUAUGAAGCAAUCCAAACACCUGGUUUCCACAUGCACAAAAUGUAUUUUACUUACAGUCAUUUCUACUACUUCAGAAAAUGGAAAGGAAAUAUUAAAAAAAAUCACCUUAUUUUUCCCAAACUGUCUGGAAUGAAGGAUCACCUUAUUCUUCCCAAACAUGAAUGAAUAUACACUGAAUGAUCCCAAGGUCAUCAUAGUAUACUAUUUAGAAAUGUGUGCUGAAAAGUCAAGCAGGACUAAAUUUAAAUGCCAACUACCACAAACCAACUGGAAAUAUUUACAAAAAACAAUAAAUAUUUUCAGAUGUGAUUUUAUGCAAGAAUGUGUUGUAAACACUUUAGAUAAAUAAGAGUCAAUUUUCCUGUGAUGAGGUCGCUGAAGUUAGGUCUCUUCCAAACCUCCAUGGAAACCAACAACUGCUGAGCUCUCAGGCAGCCAACCUUGUAUGAGGCUGAGAUGAAGGACUGAGACACCGGCCCAGUAAGUUGUACUGAUGCAAUCACAUGUCUGAGAACCCAGCCUUCUGAUCACACCAUGUUGCUUCUCCACACGUAUUUCUCUAACCACGGAUGCUGAUCUGGGAAAUUAGGUCUUGCACUAACAUUCUGCCCAUCAGAGUGCUAUAGAAUUUUACCUUGGAGGGGAUGGUGAUUUUUAAUUAUGCAGUUUAAAUAGCCCCACAGCCCAAGGGCUGGGUCCCUCUCCCAGAACCUAACAUCCGUUCUUGCUUUAUCCCUUGACCUUAACCCAAAAUUAAAUCGUUUACAGAAGAGCCACACUCUUACCGAUGAUCCAGUCUCAUACCUCCAGUCAUUAUGUGUAUGUUCUCUGACCAUAUAUUUGAAGUCUGUUGACUCGGUACUACAUUCUCAGUUUUCGUUGUUAUUUUCCAUAAUAUUCUUCUACAUGCAAAGUCAUAACCCAGCAUUAUAGUUUUCCUCUAUGGCUUUACACCAACUUCCGGUUCUGCCCCAAAUAUCCUUUUCCUCUGCUCAGUAAAUACCUAUUCCUUAGGUGUUUCCUUAGAAGCCAAGUUAGAUGUCACUUUUUCCUUUGUGUUUUAUAUUGCUUUCUGAAUAGAAAUGUUAAUAGAUGAAGAUAAUCACUGUACCUGGUACCA